rnacentral:lncRNA from 1 species
GUGUAUGGCAUUGAAAACUUCCCAACAUACCUAUAGUACAUGUGAUAUGUAUCUAAGUUUACAUCUACUAUUGUACAUAAUGCUGACAAGUUUUCUGCAUUCCCAUUAGGUGUAUGAAUUUGGAAGUUAUUACCCUACCUACAUACCUAUGGAAUGAUGUGUAUGUUAUGUGUACAAAUUCACUCUUCAUGUGAUAUGUAUUCAUUUUGGCAUCUAUUAUUGUACAUAAUGUUUAAAAAUUUGCUGCAUUCCUAUUGGAUGUAUGAUCUUGAAAGUUAUACCUUCCUUACAUACCUAUAGAAUGUUGUAUGUUGUGAGUCAUAGCAUGUUCACACUUGUGACUUGUGAUACUGUGUAUAACAAUUCACUCUUCAUGUGAUAUGUAUCCAUUUUUUACAUCUAUUAUUUCUGAUACAAGUGUGAAGUUAAAAAUAAUGCCAAGAUUUGCUAAAUGUGAUAACGACGCCCAUUAUUUUGCAACGCCGGUUCUCGGCUGCCACCAACCAUGUCCUGCCACCAAAAUCAACUGGAUUUUGGUGAUAUUAAGGAGAUGACAGAGUUCAUUGUUUUCUGCUGCAUCAGUCCCUAGCAACGAGAGUUUUUCCACUGCGCAGAGCCAUAGUUUUCUUCAACUGUCUCAACUCUCAAGCCAUAUCUUUAAUAAAUUUUGGACUUACUGUGAAAUUUAACAUUUUAAUUUUAAUUUAAAAAUUUAAGUGUUUUGUAUAAUAAUUUAAAAAUAUAAAAACUAACAAAAAAUUAUAUAUUAAUAAUUUUAAAAUAAAAUUCGUCAAAAAAUUAAUAAUUUUAAAAUAAAUAACAAUUUUUAAUAUUAGAUAAAUCGUACACAGUUAAUUUUCUCUCAUUCUCAUGAAUUAAACAUGAUUAAAGUCAUGCAUUUUAAUUACAAACAACACCAACAACAAUAUACACAAUACCCGGUAGUAUAUGUUGUAAAGAAUACACGUUUCUCUCAUUUUUCAGAUAGUAAAUAUGAAUUUUAGAGUCAUGCAUGUAAUGAGAGAAUGAAUAUUAUAUAUGAUUAAAAUAUAGAGAGAUUGUAAAUUUUAACAUUUUUUAUUUAUUUAUUUUAUGAAACUUUUAUUGCAUUUAUGUAUCUAUUUUCUAUAAAAACAACUUAUUAUAUUUAAUUAAUUGCAUACAAUUUUGUAAGGUUCUACUACCUCAAUUUCAUCUUAAGAUUCGUUGCAUAAUUAAUUUAUCUGAUCUAUAAUACUCCCUCCGUCCUAAAUUAUAAGAGAAAAAAUCUCAUUUUUUUGUCUCAAAUUAUAAAGGAAAAAAUGAUUUUCAAGAAUGUUUUUUCCUUAUUCUCGUAAAAUUAAAUGCAAAAUGCAUUUAAUUUUUUAUCUCUCCCAUUUUCUCAAUAAACAACAACCAAUAAAAAUUGUUUUUACAUCUUCCUAUGCAAUUUAUUCCAAGGAAAACCCACAAAAAUAUAUUUCAAAUUAUCAUGUUUUACUUUUUCUUAAUAAGUGUAAUUUUUUUAUUUUUCCUUAUAAUUUGGGACGGAGAGAGUAUAGAUACAAUAAAUCUAAAAAAAUAAAAACGGUUAGAUAGAAUGAAAUUUUGGACUGAUUUCCUAAAACUUAACCGCGUAUAUCAACAUAUUAAGAGACACGAUGUGCACUUUAAGCUCACUUAUAAAAAGUCUCCGUCUAAUAUUAACGAAUUAUAUAUAAUAAAAUAUAUUCUUUUUUUUUUACAAUAAUUAAAAAUAUUCAUGUACCAAAUCAUAUAUUAACAUUUUUAGUCAAACAAAAACUCAUAUAUUAAUAUUAUGUGCAUUUUUUGUUUUUGGGAUUAAGACAUACACGUGCAUUUUACUUCUAUAUUGAUUAACCAAAGUAUAAAUAUAGCAUUCACCCAAAAAAAAAAAAGUUCAAUUUGGUCCCUUAUAUUACUUAUUUCAACUUAAGUUGGUCCUUUUUAUUAAAUUUUGAGUUAAUUUUGUCUAAAACUUCCACUUGACACUCACAUAAGGUGUCCACGUAUGCAAAUUUGUUAGUUACAUGGAUGAUUUAAACUGAAAUUUUACUAAAACGACUAAAUUGAAACUUUUUAAAUUUAAGGGACCAAAUUAAAAUCUAACAUAUCAUAAAUGAUCAAAUAUGUAAUUAUACCUUUGAAUUUUGAUACAUUAUUUAUGGAAUAACCUCUCGCCCAUUUAGGACAAACAUGACUGUUUAUGAUAAAAAAAAUUGAAAAAAGGAAUGGUAUAAACAUGGAACUUGUACCACAUUAGGAGUAUUUGAUUAAUUUCAACUCACCUUGAAACUGUAUUACACCCAUAAUGUAACAUCAGUACUAGAAGCAAAAUGUAUUACUGCAGAGCCUAUUACAACAGAAGGAGGAUUAAUAAUGCUAUAAUGGUUUGUGAGUUUGGCAACUUACUAGUUGAAAUUCACUUGUAUUUGAAUAACAUUAUAUAUUAUAUAUACCAUGUCAUCUGUGGAACUCGAGUGUUUUUAGCAUAGCUUUGGUGUUUCAAUCUUUAUCUUUGAUACACGUAUUUUGUAUGAAUACUGAUCUUUGAUACACGUAAUUUGUCCAUAAGUUCAUUGACAAUUGCAAGUGUAGAAUGAUCGAUCAUAAAUGAGAGUAUAGUUUUAGCCAUAGUUUUAAAAAUCGAAUCGGACUGGCUGGUCUGACCGGUACAGCCGGAAACCGGUAACGUGAGCGGUCCGAUAAGCUGCAGAACCGGUUCUGCAAAUAACUCGCGACAACUCGUCUUGAACCAGCCAGUUCAUCGGUUGAACCGGGAACCGUUAAAACCCGUCCGUGCGCGAACCGAACCGGUUUGGGGAGAGAACAAACAUUUCAAAAUACUCCCAAAUUUGUUGUACAUAGGAAAUCGUGACUAGAACCACUUGGCCACAUGAAUUUAUGUGAUAUUAUAUCAUUGAAUUAUAGUUAAUAUUAGUUAAGAAACACCAUGACAUGUAUUAAUAAAUACAUUGAUCAUUUUUUCCUUGUUAUUUUAAAUUUGAUUUUCAUACACCAUGACAUGUAUUAACAAAAUUAUGAUAUAAUAAUAUUUUAAUUUAGUCAAUAAAAUAUUAUAAUUUAUUUAAAAUAUAAUUAUAGCAUAAUUGUGUUUUUUCUUUUAAAUACAUAAAAUUUUAUUGAAAACAAGUUUGAAAGGAUUUUUUUUUAUUAAAUUUUAUUGUUACGAAAUUCAAGUCAAUAUAUUUAAAUAUUUUAUAUAAGUCGGGUCAAUAGUCAUGUGGUCUGACCAGUGAAUCAUGGUCUGAUCGGUGAACCAGUGACCGAGUGUCUUGGCCGGAUUGAUUACUGGUCCGGGUUUUAAAACAUUGGUUUUAGCAUAUAUANNNNNNNNNNNNNNNNNNNNNNNNNNNNNNNNNNNNNNNNNAUAUAUAUAUAUAUAUAUAUAUAUAUAUAUAUAUAUAUAUAUACACACAAUAUGUGUGAUGAUUUUAUUUUUUUUUACAAGUAACAACUCAAACCAUUUUCAUUAAUCAUUUCUUAGAAUGUAUACAUUAUCUUAAAUGACAUAUGAUAUGAGACAAUGGUCGAGAUUUCUAAAACAAUCUCAUAUAAAAUCUCAAAUUUCAUUGAAAUUUUUUACAAGCAUCAUCAAAAUAAUGUACAUAUAUAUGAUGAGUUUUGAAUUAAAACUCAAUCUCUAAUGAAAAUUUUUUUCUCGUGUUAAAACUCAUUUAUUGUAAUUUCAUUAAAAUAUAUAUAUAGAAAGAGAUGACGGCUUUGGCGCCGAGCCUAUGCAUGUCGUGAGGCAGCAAGGAGUGUGCUGAACUAUUAACAUGUUGACUGGAAAGGAACCACAGUAAAGAGUGAAAGAAAACAUCAGUGAACUGGAAUUUGCACCACGCCAAUCGGCGUCAAUGACAGAGUAAAACCUACAAAUUUGGUGAUUCACAUAUGCAAAUUUGGUGUGUUCUACAUACUUUCAAGGGAAAUAUGCGAAGACUCCUCUCUUAACUAGCAGUUUAAAAUUAGUUGUCUUUUGUAUGGUAUGAAAAAGUGCUUAGUUCUCUUGUUUGGAAAUCAAUGACUAUAAUUAUUUAUAGAUGUUUUCUCAACCGAUCUUCGCCUUUCUUUUCUACCCCAAACUGAUGUUUUUGCCCUUGGGGUACUUCGGUUUGUACAAACCGAAGUUUGUAGAAACACCGAUCUCACUCUCUCUCUCACGUGUAACAACAAAACAAAGCAACCUCCAUAACUAUUUUUGUGAGUUCCACAAAAAUGGAUACUUUAAGCAAUCCUUAUCUCAAAACACCAAACCUCCUUCAUUAAAACCUUCACCAUUUUUCAUUCUCUACAACAUGAACCUAACUUUAUUCCUUAACUCCAUCAAUUAAGAUUUUUGAAUUUCUUCUUCCAAGUUUUUUCGGUUUCUAAAAACCGAAGUAUGUGUUUUUCGGUUCGUAUAAACCGAAUCGUUAACAUCAUCACGAUGAUAUUUAACAUUAACCUGAAGAGGGGUAUCCCGGAUUAGCUGAUUGUGUUCCAAACUUUUCGGUUCGUAAAAACCGAAAUUGUUUGUUCCAAUUUUUGUGAAAUUUGAAGGGCAAAAUGAGAUUUUAGGGGGUAUAAAAGAAAGUCUGAGGGUCGGAAGAGAAAACAUCUUAUCUAUAGAGUAAGCGCCAUUAAUUUUGUUCUUGAACUUCCACCCUCCCUCUUACCUUGUUCCUCAAGUAAAUGAAGAUGAUAAGUAAUCACUAACGGUUCGUCAUAUUUUAUUUAUUUGAGGAACAAAAUAAGAAAGAGGGUGCAAGUUAAUGGAUAGAAUUGGUAGAUUACUCAUUUAUAUUAUAGUACAUGGUAUUGAAAGCUUGCCAACCUACCUAUAGAAUGUUUUAUGAUGUGGUACAUGGUAUGUGUACAAAUUCACCCUUCAUGUGAUAUGUAUCUAUUUUUUCAUCUACUAUUGUAUAUAAUGCUGACAAGUUUACUGCAUUCCCAUUAGGUGUAUGAUAUUGAAAGUUAUUACCCUCCCUACAGAAUGAUGUGUAUGUUAUGUGUACAAAUUCACUCUUCAUGUGAUAUGUAUCCAUUUUGGCAUCUAUUAUUGUACAU